rfam:Zostera marina strain Finnish scaffold_2904, whole genome shotgun sequence.
AUACUUACCUGGACGGGGUUUAUGGUUGAUCAAGAAGGGUCAUGGCCUAGAUUGAUGAUCUCCAUUGCACUUUGGAGAAGCAUCAAGCUAACAUCUUCCCAAGUGGGAGAGCGUACGUCAUAAUUUGUUACUUUGAGGGUACGCGUUCGCGUGGCCCUUG